CAUUACAAAUCAGUAGCUUGCUACUGCGCUGGGGGAGACGGGAAAGUCCUGGCUGAAAAGUCGGUGUACCGGUACCUACACCCCUAUCAUACCCUUGUCUUUUGAGUACUUAUGUUUCCUUGGUAGGCUUGCCUGCCAAUAGGACAAACUUUAAACCUUUGUAAAUAUCAAUCAGCGUCUGAAAAAUAAUUAAUAAUUACAACUUUCAACAACGGAUCUCUUGGUUCUGGCAUCGAUGAAGAACGCAGCGAAAUGCGAUAAGUAGUGUGAAUUGCAGAAUUCAGUGAAUCAUCGAAUCUUUGAACGCACAUUGCGCCCCUUGGUAUUCCAUGGGGCAUGCCUGUUCGAGCGUCAUUUGUACCCUCAAGCUAUGCUUGGUGUUGGGUGAUUGUCCGGCCUUUAUAGCCAGGACUCGCCUUAAAGUAAUUGGCAGCCAGUGUUUUGGUAUAAAGCGCAGCACAUUUUGCGAUUUACUCCAAUAAUAUUAGCAACCAUAAAGCUCAUCUAUCACUUU
rnacentral:rRNA from 1 species